GACGAACGCUGGCGGCGUGCUUAACACAUGCAAGUCGAACGGAAAGGCCCUGCUUUUGUGGGGUGCUCGAGUGGCGAACGGGUGAGUAACAAGUGAGUAACCUGCCCUUGACUUUGGGAUAACUUCAGGAAACUGGGGCUAAUACCGGAUAGGAGCUCCGGCUGCAUGGUGGGGGUUGGAAAGUUUCGGCGGUUGGGGAUGGACUCGCGGCUUAUCAGCUGGUUGGGGGGGUAGUGGCUUACCAAGGCUUUGACGGGUAGCCGGCCUGAGAGGGUGACCGGCCACAUUGGGACUGAGAUACGGCCCAGACUCCUACGGGAGGCAGCAGUGGGGAAUAUUGCACAAUGGGCGGAAGCCUGAUGCAGCAACGCCGCGUGCGGGAUGACGGCCUUCGGGUUGUAAACCGCUUUCGCCUGUGACGAAGCGUGAGUGACGGUAAUGGGUAAAGAAGCACCGGCUAACUACGUG
rnacentral:rRNA from 1 species